GCCGGGAGUGGUGGCGCAUGCCUGUAAUCCCAGCUACUUGGGAGGCUGAGGCAGGAGAAUCGCUUGAAUCCAGGAGGCAGAGGUUGUAGUGAGCUGAGAUCACGCCACUGCACUCCAGCCUGGGCAACAGAGCGAGACUCUGUCUCAA
ensembl:misc_RNA Metazoa_SRP Metazoan signal recognition particle RNA